ACAAACUUGGUCAUUUAGAGGAAGUAAAAGUCGUAACAAGGUCUCCGUUGGUGAACCAGCGGAGGGAUCAUUAUAGAGAGUAUAAUCUCCCUAAAACCCAAUGUGAAUCUACCUAUCGUUGCUUCGGCGGAGGUCCCGGCUGCCCUCCGUGGCGCCGGAAUCAGGCGUCCGCCGGAGGUUUCAAACUCUUGUGUUCAUUUUGUAACUGUCUGAGUGGCAUAAGCAAAUAAAAUCAAAACUUUCAACAACGGAUCUCUUGGUUCUGGCAUCGAUGAAGAACGCAGC
rnacentral:misc_RNA from 1 species